rnacentral:rRNA from 1 species
CAGCUCUCCGAGUUGUGGGGACGUUUAUUGGGCCUGAAGCAUCCGUAGCCGGCUGGAUAAGUCCUCUGUUAAAUCCAGCGAUUCAAUCGUUGGUCUGCGGGGGAUACUGUCCGGCUUGGGGGCGGGAGAGGCCGACGGUAUUCUCGGGGUAGGGGUGAAAUCCUAUAAUCCCGGGAGGACCACCAGUGGCGAAGGCUGUCGGCUAGAACGCGCUCGACGGUGAGGGAUGAAAGCUGGGGGAGCGAACCGGAUUAGAUACCCGGGUAGUCCCAGCUGUAUAACGAUGCAGGCUAGGUGUUAGGGCGGCCACGUGCCGCUCUAGUGCCGCAGGGAAGCUGUUAAGCCUGCCGCCUGGGGAGUACGGUCGCAAGGCUG